rnacentral:rRNA from 1 species
GAGCGCCGUAGCAAUGCGGAGCGGCAGACGGGAGAGUAACACGUGGGAACGUGCCCUUCAGUUCGGAACAACCCAGGGAAACUUGGGCUAAUACCGGAUACGUCCGUAAGGAGAAAGAUUUAUCGCUGAAGGAUCGGCCCGCGUCUGAUUAGCUAGUUGGUGAGGUAACGGCUCACCAAGGCGACGAUCAGUAGCUGGUCUGAGAGGAUGAUCAGCCUCACUGGGACUGAGACACGGCCCAGACUCCUACGGGAGGCAGCAGUGGGGAAUAUUGGACAAUGGGGGCAACCCUGAUCCAGCCAUGCCGCGUGAGUGAUGAAGGCCUUCGGGUUGUAAAGCUCUUUUGGCGGGGACGAUGAUGACGGUACCCGCAGAAUAAGCCCCGGCUAACUUCGUG